ACCCUACUAUGCCUAGCCCUAACAAAACAAUUAAAUAACAUAUUGUUCGCCAAAUAACUACGAGUGAAAACUUAAAAUUUAAAAGACUUGACGGUACUUCACAACAACCUAGAGGAGCCUGUCCAAUAACCGAUACCCCACGAUUAACCCAACCCCAGCUAGCCCAACAGUCUAUAUACCGCCGUCGCCAGCUUACCUUAUGAAAGAAACAAAGUGAGCUAAAUAGCCAAACACUAACACGACAGGUCGAGGUGUAACUAAUGCCGGGGUAAAGAUGGGCUACAUUUUCUAACUCAGAAUACACGAAUAAAGUGUGAAAUCACAAACUGAAGGUGGAUUUAGCAGUAAGAUAAGAACAAAAUACCUGACUGAAACAAACGCAAUGAAGUGCGUACACACCGCCCGUCAUCCCUGCCACAACAACAAACAAUAAAAUAUACCAACACAACACAUAAAACA
rnacentral:rRNA from 1 species